GAUGAACGCUGCUACAGGCUUAACACAUGCAAGUCGAGGGGCAGCAUGACGAUAGCUUGCUAUUGUCGAUGGCGACCGGCGCACGGGUGAGUAACGCGUAUCCAACCUUCCCGUUGCUAGGGGAUAACCUUGCGAAAGUAAGACUAAUACCUGAUGUUUUCCACGGACGGCAUCCGAUGUGGAACAAAGAUUGAUCGUUAUGGGAUGGGGAUGCGUCUGAUUAGCUUGUUGGCGGGGUAACGGCCCACCAAGGCAACGAUCAGUAGGGGUUCUGAGAGGAAGGUCCCCCCACAUUGGAACUGAGACACGGUCCAAACUCCUACGGGAGGCAGCAGUGAGGAAUAUUGGUCAAUGGGCGGAAGCCUGAACCAGCCAAGUAGCGUGAGGGAUGACUGCCCUAUGGGUUGUAAACCUCUUUUAUAAGGGAAUAAAAUACGGGACGUGUCCUGUUUUGCAUGUACCUUAUGAAUAAGGACCGGCUAAUUCCGUG
rnacentral:rRNA from 1 species